rnacentral:rRNA from 1 species
AUUGAACGCUGGCGGCAGGCCUAACACAUGCAAGUCGAACGAGAGGCGGACAGGUGAGUAAAGUCUGGGAAACUGCCCGUUGGAGGGGGGUAACUACUGGAAAAGGUAACCAAUACCGCCAACUCAAGCAAAUGUACCGAUGUGAUUAGCUAGUAGGUGGGGUAACGGCUCACAUAGGCGACGAUCCCUAGCUGGUCUGAGAGGAUGAGGCGCCACACUGGAACUGAGACACGGUCCAGACUCCUACGGGAGGCAGCCGUGGGGAAUAUUGCACAAUGGGCGCAAGCCUUAUACAGCCAUGCCGCGUGUAUGAAGAAGGCCUUCGGGUUGUAAAGUACUUUCAGCGAGGAGGCGUUACGCGCAGAAGAAGCACCGGCUAACUCCGUGCCAGCAGCCGCGGUAAUUC